rnacentral:rRNA from 1 species
CUCAGGGAGGUAGUGACAAGAAAUAACAACACUGGAAAUUUUAUUUCUAGUGAUUGGAAUGAUGGGAAUUUAAACCCCUUUCAGAGUAACAAUUGGAGGGCAAGUCUGGUGCCAGCAGCCGCGGUAAUUCCAGCUCCAAUAGCGUAUAUUAAAGUUGUUGCAGUUAAAAAGCUCGUAGUUGGAUGUCUGUUGGAAGCAAUCAGUCCGCCCUAUUUGUAGGGUGUGCACUUGAUGAAUUCUGGCAUCUAUGUCCCAAUGUGAUAUACGCGGUGGUGUUAUUAAUAUAUAGGUUAAUCCUGUAUAUUAUAUACCCAUUUGUGUAAUAUUGGGAUAAUACCGUUACUUUGAGAAAAUUAGAGUGUUUGAAGCAGGCUAAUUGCCUUGAGUACUGCAGCAUGGAAUAACAAUAUAGGAUUUCGGUUCUAUUUUGUUGGUUUCUAGGACUGAAAUAAUGAUUAAUAGGGACAGUUGGGGGCAUUCGUAUUUAACUGUCAGAGGUGAAAUUCUUAGAUUUGUUAAAGACGAACUACUGCGAAAGCAUUUGCCAAAGAUGUUUUCAUUAAUCAAGAACGAAAGUUAGGGGCUCGAAGACGAUCAGAUACCGUCGUAGUCUUAACCAUAAACUAUGCCGACUAGAGAUAGGAAACUGUCAUUUUUCUGACUU